rnacentral:rRNA from 1 species
GACGUAGGGGGCCAGCGUUGUUCGGAAUUACUGGGCGUAAAGGGUUCGUAGGCGGUGUGGCAAGUCGGGAGUGAAAUUUCUGGGCUCAACUCAGAGACUGCUUCCGAAACUGCUGUGCUGGAGUGUGGGAGAGGCGCGUGGAAUUGCAGGUGUAGCGGUGAAAUGCGUAGAUAUCUGCAGGAACACCCGUGGCGAAAGCGGCGCGCUGGACCGCUACUGACGCUGAGGAACGAAAGCUAGGGGAGCAAACAGG